rnacentral:lncRNA from 1 species
AGGAGCGGCUGGAGGCUCUCCAGGCCAGCGGCAGCGGUGGCGUGCUGGCCACCCAUUCUCGUGACCUUGCUAAGGCCCCUGUUGCUUAACUCUCUGGCAAGCCCUUGGUUUCUGGCCAUUUUCCAGACUUCAUCACUCUUCUCUGCCAAUUCUAUGAGCCCCUGAUAGCCUUCCAAUAAAUUCCACUUGAUUACCACAUGGCUUGCAAUCAAGAACCCAGCAUAACACACAACCACUUAUUAAAUACUAAGUAAGAGCCAGACACUUGACAUGUGACAUCUUGUCAGAUCCUCAAACACCCCGGUGAGGAAAGCGUUAUUAUCCCUGUUUUCCAAAUGAGGACACUGAGGCUCAGGGAGCUGGGUGAUGUGUCAAAAGUUGCCCAGCUGCAGAGUGGCAAUGCUGGAAUUUGAAGCCAGGCUUUUCUGAUUCUGAAUUCCAUGUUUUCUUACUUGCCUUUUUCUUCUGCUCCAGCUUGCAGUGCCUCGGAGAGGUGGCGCUGGCUAGCCUGGGACUUCCAACAUACAGCCUACAUUGAUGGCCUGAGACUUGUGGCAAAAAAGACUUUCAAAAUCUAAUUUGCUCACAUACAUGAACACCUGCCAGGAAGGAAUUUGAGGCCUUUGUUCUAAACAUGGAAAAGCUGAGUUCAUUUGCCCCAGAGGGGGCACCUGCAGGGAAAAGGAAAAAUGGUUUUAACCCUUUCCUUGAGUCAGAAAAUGAGGCCACCAGAUUCUCCUUUCAUCCUUCAAGUAUCAGAAAGGUCUGUGCUGUGAAUUCCACAGAUGAGAUUCAUUGCAAGAUGUGAGGGCAGAGGAAAUCCAUGGAAAUGAAAUCCACAUUCAAACUGGAUGCAUGCGUUCAGCAACUGGAAGCUGAGUUCAUAUUUCAUUGCCCAACUACCCUGACCACUUGGGAAUCGCAGGUUUGGAAGGACCCACAGCCAUUCUGUGGAAAUGGAUCUGCUUUCAGGACCGAAUCUCAGACUUCUUGGGGAAGGUUUCAGUGGCUGCCUUUGCUGUGCAGACCUGGAGAUGGGUCUGAUGAUCGGACACCUGAAUUAUCUGUGUGGCUGAGUUUCAAGAAGACCUGCUGGGGUGAAAUGAAAAUGGUGCCUACUAGAAGCCCCAGUGGCUUUGCUGGUGGAGGCUAGCUUGCUCAUGUCCUCAUACAGAAGCAGAGAUGCAAGCAAGUGAGAAGGUGGAAGGACUCAGGUCUUGGGCCUUACUCUGAGAACUAUAACACCAUUCCUUCUGCUGCAUUCUCUUGUCUAAAAUUUGCUCCUCCACUGGCUCUUCUUGUAGACACACGACUGCUACAGUAUCAAGGGUCUGAUGCAGACAUGACAAUGUCAAGAGGAAGAGGAGAGCCUCGCUCUUCCCAGGCUUUUGCUUUUAAGAGCAGAAAAACUUUCCCCAGAGUUCCACCAGCUCACUUCUCAUCUUACUUCUUUGGCCAGAACUGGCCCUUGUGCCCAUAUUGUCAGUCAAAUGCCGACAAAGGAAAGGGGCCACUAUGAGUGGUUUAGACUUGGAUUGGAUUUGUCCUUAUUGGAUUGUCCUUAAGUCCUUUGAAAAAGAAGUAUACAACAGAAUGAAAUCUUGACUCAGCUUUCAAGAAUAAAGAGGGGGAAAAUGCACACAUGCUCAAACAAUUUUGCGUCUAAUUUCGUGAACCUACUGAAGUUCGUCCAUAGAAACCCAGAGGACCAGGGCAUGAAGAACUUGUAAGCCAUGCCAUGGAAGGCAAGACUUCAUCCAGAGGGCAGUGAGGAUACUACAACAGGUAGGAAUGACUUUCAGCUCAGUAUAAAAGAGGUGCAG